GAUGAACGCUGGCGGCGUGCCUAAUACAUGCAAGUCGAGCGAACAGACGAGGAGCUUGCUCCUUUGACGUUAGCGGCGGACGGGUGAGUAACACGUAGGUAACCUACCUAUAAGACUGGGAUAACUUCGGGAAACCGGAGCUAAUACCGGAUAAUAUUUCGAACCGCAUGGUUCGAUAGUGAAAGAUGGCUUUGCUAUCACUUAUAGAUGUACCUGCGCCGUAUUAGCUAGUUGGUAAGGUAACGGCUUACCAAGGCAACGAUACGUAGCCGACCUGAGAGGGUGAUCGGCCACACUGGAACUGAGACACGGUCCAGACUCCUACGGGAGGCAGCAGUAGGGAAUCUUCGGCAAUGGGCGAAAGCCUGACGGAGCAACGCCGCGUGAGUGAUGAAGGUCUUCGGAUCGUAAAACUCUGUUAUUAGGGAAGAACAAACGUGUAAGUAACUGUGCACGUCUUGACGGUACCUAAUCAGAAAGCCACGGCUAACUACGUG
rnacentral:rRNA from 1 species